CCUGGGGUAGCUCAGUUGGUAGAGCGUGAGACUCUCAAUCUCAAGGUGAUGGGUUCGAGCCCCAUGUUGGGCA